rnacentral:lncRNA from 1 species
GCACCAGAUGGCAGCAACUAGAAAUUGAAAAACAAGAGAGGUUUAAGCCGCUUUACCAGAGCGGGAUCCUAAGGUCAGGACCCCGACUUACCAAUGCGACGACGAGGUCAACCGUGGCUCUGAUACCACUGUUGAGUAUCGACCCUCGUCGUCGUUGUUGAAGGCUUCCUUCUCCGGGGCAGCAAAGCAGCGGCAACACAGCGGCGGAACAGCAGCAGGGACGGCGGCGGCAGGGGCAGCAGCAGCGGCGGCUGUCCUCCGGCAACAACGCAGCAGCAACAGCGGCGCAGCAACGAGGUAGCAGCAGCCUCGACAACCUGCAAGGAAAAACACACAAAGAGAGGAACAAGGGGCGUCGAUCUUCUCGGCUCAGGUACAGCUCUCUUCCUCUCGAUCACGCACACACUAAGCCACGAAGAAUCACAAAGGGGACGUUGCUCUCGCCGGCACCACAAUCGGCCAACAAGCCUUACACCUUCACCGGUAGCACCUCCACACAAAGGAAGAACACUAAGCAAUUUUCGUCUCCUAUACAGCCACAGACCAAGGGCUCUUUAAAUAGCCUACCAAAGAAGGAUCUAGAGAAGGAAGGUGAAGAGGUUCAUGGGGAGAAGAAGCGCAGGGGUCACAGCCCCAAAAGGGCACUAAUUUCGACUGGAAGGGGAAAUGGGAGGGCUGCCAAAAUAAGGAGGAUAGGGCAUGGGCUUGUUGGGCCAAAAUUGGGCCAACUAACAACAACGGACUUAGGAUUAAUGCACUAUUUUCUCGGAAUGGAGAUAAGUCAAGAGGAAGAAGGCAUCUUCCUAUCACAAAAAAAGUAUAUUGAAGAUAUGCUCAAGAAGUUCAAGAUGCAAGACUGCAAGCCAGUGGUUACACCUCUCAUUCCAAAUGAGAAGUUGAAGAAAGAAGAUGGGUCAAAACCGACGGAUUCUACAAACUAUCGAAGUUUGAUUGGGAGUCUACUAUAUUUGACGGCAACAAGGCCUGACAUCAAGUAUGCAACAAGCCUUCUAUCCAGAUUCAUGGAAAGUCCGAAGGAGACCCACUAUGGAGCAGCAAAGAGACUUCUCAGAUACCUGCAAGGUACGCUCAACUAUGGUAUUUGGUACAAACCAAAGUCUGACUCACAGAUUAGUGGAUAUAGCGAUAGUGAUUGGGCUGGAUCUCAAGAUGACAUGAAAAGCACCUCAGGCUAUGCUUUCAAGCUUGGCUCAGGAAUUUUUCUUGGGGAUCAAAGAAGCAAGACUCAGUUGCACUAUCAACAGCAGAAGCUGAGUAUGUUGCAGCAGCCGAAGCAGCAUGUCAAGCUAUAUGGCUUAGAAGAAUACUAGCGGAUAUGGGCGAACCGCAAGACUCAUCGACAGAGAUCUACUGCGAUAACAAGUCAGCUAUAGCAAUGGCUAAGAAUCCAGUUCAGCACAAUCGCACCAAGCACAUCGACAUCAAGUAUCACUUCUUGAGAGAUGUUGAAGCAAAGAAACUUAUCGAGAUGAAGUAUUGUCCAACAGAAGAGCAGUUGGCGGACAUCUUCACAAAAGCACUACCAAGGGACAGAUUCCAAUUUCUGCGAAGAAUGCUUGGAGUAACCGAUAAAUGCAUCAAGGAGGAGUAUUGAAGUGUGAUGCAUUUAUCUAGAAUAUUCUAAGUGAGAAUAUACUAUGCAUAAUCUAGAGAAUUCACCACUAGCUAGAUUACUCUAGAGUAUUCUAAAUAAUACCUAGGACAUGUAUGGUAUUCUAGAGAUUAGAUAUUUUCUAUAUAGUAUCUAGAGAAUUCCUUAAGUGGAUGCUAGUAGAGAAUUCUAGAUACAAGUUAGUGUAGUGGGAUCUAGAGAGAUCUUCCCACACCUAUAAAUAGAGCUCUUGUGAGCCAUUUGUAACCAAUCUCAAACCAAUCUCACAUAAUCUAAAACAUCUCAAAAACAUCACUCUAUCUAUUAUCUAAGUUCUUUGGAGACAAGAGCUCCACUCUAAAAUCAUUAUCUCUAUCUUCUACACACACUACACUCACAAUAUUCUCUACACCACUUCACUACAAUCACUCACCAUACUCAAGCCUCUAUAUAAUCACCUCCAUUUUCUAACAGAGACGCCGAUAGGAGUCGGCGGCGGCCGGCAGCGAAAUCGCCGGACAAGAAGGCGGCAGCUGCGACUGCAGAUUCAGGGAGAGAAAGAGAGAACAGAGCGAUGGAGCGUGGAUUUGAGAGAGAGAAUGUGAAAAGAAAAGAGUGAUGGAACGUGAAUUUUAGGGAGAAAGGAAUUGGGUUCCAGUUAUGGGCUAAGCCUUUAAUUCAGUAAUGGGCUGAAUUUUUUUAGCUGGACUAUGAUUUAUUUAAUUUGAACUCAUGUUGGGCCUUUUGAUUUUAAUGAAUAAAUCCCUAAGCAUUAAAUUAUUUUCAAAUACAUUUAGGUCUUUAUAUUUUAUUAUUUGAAUUUAACUGACAAGGUGCGGCGCGGCUAGGAUAUGAACUUUGAAAUUCUCACAGUUAAUCUUUCAAAGUUCAAAUUUCAACUGUGAGAUUUAUUUAAAUAUAUUGCUGUCAGUUUUUGACUUAACAGAAUAGUGUCUUGCGGGAUGAUUUUGAUGAUGAUCCCAUAGUCCAAAUCACUUGAAAUUUUUACAGUGAUAACUUCAUUAUGAGUAUUAGAUCUCUGCAAAAUUUCAACUGAAUCCGAAACCUUUAGAUAGGUCAAACAAUUUUCUUAAAAGUAAUGCGUGAAGCAGCAAGGUUCUGUAUCAGAUUCUGCCUUUUGUGAGAUCAUUUCUUGUACAUGCACUUGAGAUAUUGCAUUUUUGUAAAUUUUAAUGAUAGACUUUAAUAGCUUAAUUUCCAUUAAAAAGAUAAUUUCUUAUAUCUAAUUGUAAGUAACAACACUACUUUAGAUCUCAAAUCACAUAAGUAUUGUUGAGUAUAGACCCUCGUCGUCGUUGUAGAAGGCUUCCUUCGACUUUGGGCAGCCACAGCGCAGCUACAAAGCCGCAAAACAGCAGCUGCACAGCGGCGCAGCAACGAGGUAGCAGCAGCCUCGACAACCUGCAAGGAAAAACACACAAAGAGAGGAACAAGGGGCGUCGAUCUUCUCGGCUCAGGUACAGCUCUCUUCCUCUCGAUCACGCACACACUAAGCCACGAAGAAUCACAAAGGGGACGUUGCUCUCGCCGGCACCACAAUCGGCCAACAAGCCUUACACCUUCACCGGUAGCACCUCCACACAAAGGAAGAACACUAAGCAAUUUUCGUCUC